rnacentral:rRNA from 1 species
UUCGAUUCCGGAGAGGGAGCCUGAGAAACGGCUACCACAUCCAAGGAAGGCAGCAGGCGCGCAAAUUACCCACUCCCGGCAAGGGGAGGUAGUGACGAAAAAUAUCGAUGCGGGACUCUUUUGAGGCCCCGCAAUCGGAAUGAGUACACUCUAAGGAGUGGAGCCUGCGGCUUAAUUUGACUCAACACGGGAAAACUUACCCGGCCCGGACACCGGAAAGGAUUGACAGAUUAAGAGCUCUUUCUUGAUUCGGUGGGUGGUGGUGCAUGGCCGUUCUUAGUUGGUGGAGCGAUUUGUCUGGUUAAUUCCGAUAACGAACGAGACUCUAGCCUACUUAAUAGAGAACCGAUUUCCUCUCGUCGGUUACUCUUCUUAGAGGGACAAGCGGCGUUUAGCCGCACGAGACAGAGCAAUAACAGGUCUGUGAUGCCCUUAGAUGUCCGGGGCCGCACGCGCGCUACACUGAAGGAAUCAGCGUGUGUUCACCCUGGCCGAAAGGUCUGGGUAACCCGUUGAACCUCCUUCGUGAUAGGGAUAGGGGCUUGUAACUAUUCCCCUUGAACGAGGAAUUCCCAGUAAGCGCGAGUCAUAAGCUCGCGUUGAUUACGUCCCUGCCCUUUGUACACACCGCCCGUCGCUACUACCGAUUGAAUGAUUUAGUGAGGUCUUCGGACUGGUGCUCGGAGCGGCCCUCGGGUCGCGCCGGCGUACCGGAAAAGAUGACCAAACUUGAUCAU